rnacentral:rRNA from 1 species
AGAGUUUGAUCCUGGCUCAGGAUGAACGCUGGCGGCGUGCUUAACACAUGCAAGUCGAACGAACCUUCGGGUUAGUGGCGGACGGGUGAGUAACGCGUGGGAAUCUGCCCUCAGGAGGGGGAUAACGGUUGGAAACGGCCGCUAAUACCCCAUAUGCCGAGAGGUGAAAUGAAUUUCGCCUGAGGAUGAGCCCGCGUCUGAUUAGCUUGUUGGUGAGGUAAUGGCUCACCAAGGCUUCGAUCAGUAGCUGGUCUGAGAGGAUGAUCAGCCACACUGGGACUGAGACACGGCCCAGACUCCUACGGGAGGCAGCAGUGGGGAAUUUUCCGCAAUGGGCGAAAGCCUGACGGAGCAACGCCGCGUGAGGGAUGAAGGCCUCUGGGCUGUAAACCUCUUUUCUCAAGGAAGAAGAUAUGACGGUACUUGAGGAAUAAGCCACGGCUAAUUCCGUGCCAGCAGCCGCGGUAAUACGGGAGUGGCAAGCGUUAUCCGGAAUUAUUGGGCGUAAAGCGUCCGCAGGCGGCCUUUCAAGUCUGCUGUUAAAACGUGGAGCUUAACUCCAUCAAGGCAGUGGAAACUGUUGGGCUUGAGUGUGGUAGGGGCAGAGGGAAUUCCCGGUGUAGCGGUGAAAUGCGUAGAUAUCGGGAAGAACACCAGUGGCGAAGGCGCUCUGCUGGGCCAUAACUGACGCUCAUGGACGAAAGCCAGGGGAGCGAAAGGGAUUAGAUACCCCUGUAGUCCUGGCCGUAAACGAUGAACACUAGGUGUCGGGGGAAUCGACCCCCUCGGUGUCGUAGCCAACGCGUUAAGUGUUCCGCCUGGGGAGUACGCACGCAAGUGUGAAACUCAAAGGAAUUGACGGGGGCCCGCACAAGCGGUGGAGUAUGUGGUUUAAUUCGAUGCAACGCGAAGAACCUUACCAGGGUUUGACAUCCUGCGAACCUCAAAGAAAUUUGAGGGUGCCUUCGGGAACGCAGUGACAGGUGGUGCAUGGCUGUCGUCAGCUCGUGUCGUGAGAUGUUGGGUUAAGUCCCGCAACGAGCGCAACCCACGUUUUUAGUUGCCAGCAUUUAGUUGGGCACUCUAGAAAGACCGCCGGUGAUAAACCGGAGGAAGGUGUGGAUGACGUCAAGUCAUCAUGCCCCUUACAUCCUGGGCUACACACGUACUACAAUGCUACGGACAAAGGGCAGCAAACUCGCGAGGGCUAGCAAAUCCCAUAAACCGUGGCUCAGUUCAGAUCGUAGGCUGCAACUCGCCUACGUGAAGUAGGAAUCGCUAGUAAUCGCAGGUCAGCAUACUGCGGUGAAUACGUUCCCGGGCCUUGUACACACCGCCCAUCACACCAUGGAAGUUGGCCACGCCCGAAGUCGUUACUCCAACCCUUGUGGAGGAGGACGCCGAAGGUGGGGCUGAUGACUGGGGUGAAGUCGUAACAAGGUAGCCGUACCGGAAGGUGCGGCUG